rnacentral:rRNA from 1 species
GAGUUUGAUCCUGGCUCAGAUUGAACACUGGCGGCAGGCUUAACACAUGCAAGUCGAACGGUAACAUGAGUGCUUGCACUUGAUGACGAGUGGCGGACGGGUGAGUAAAGUAUGGGGAUCUGCCGAAUGGAGGGGGACAACAGUUGGAAACGACUGCUAAUACCGCAUAAAGUUGAGAGACCAAAGCAUGGGGCUUACGGGCCAUGCGCCAUUCGAUGAGCCCAUAUGGGAUUAGCUAGUUGGUAGGGUAAUGGCUUACCAAGGCGACGAUCUCUAGCUGGUCUGAGAGGAUGACCAGCCACACUGGAACUGAGACACGGUCCAGACUCCUACGGGAGGCAGCAGUGGGGAAUAUUGCACAAUGGGGGGAACCCUGAUGCAGCCAUGCCGCGUGUAUGAAGAAGGCCUUCGGGUUGUAAAGUACUUUCGGUGAUGAGGAAGGUGGUGUAUCUAAUAGGUGCAUCAAUUGACGUUAAUUACAGAAGAAGCACCGGCUAACUCCGUGCCAGCAGCCGCGGUAAUACGGAGGGUGCGAGCGUUAAUCGGAAUGACUGGGCGUAAAGGGCAUGUAGGCGGAUAAUUAAGUUAGGUGUGAAAGCCCUGGGCUCAACCUAGGAAUUGCACUUAAAACUGAUUAACUAGAGUAUUGUAGAGGAAGGUAGAAUUCCACGUGUAGCGGUGAAAUGCGUAGAGAUGUGGAGGAAUACCGGUGGCGAAGGCGGCCUUCUGGACAGAUACUGACGCUGAGAUGCGAAAGCGUGGGGAGCAAACAGGAUUAGAUACCCUGGUAGUCCACGCUGUAAACGAUGUCGAUUUGGAGUUUGUUGCCUAGAGUGAUGGGCUCCGAAGCUAACGCGAUAAAUCGACCGCCUGGGGAGUACGGCCGCAAGGUUAAAACUCAAAUGAAUUGACGGGGGCCCGCACAAGCGGUGGAGCAUGUGGUUUAAUUCGAUGCAACGCGAAGAACCUUACCCGGUCUUGACAUCCACAGAAUCUUGCAGAGAUGCGAGAGUGCCUUCGGGAACUGUGAGACAGGUGCUGCAUGGCUGUCGUCAGCUCGUGUUGUGAAAUGUUGGGUUAAGUCCCGCAACGAGCGCAACCCUUAUCCUUUGUUGCCAUUGGUUAGGCCGGGAACUCAAAGGAGACUGCCGUUGAUAAAGCGGAGGAAGGUGGGGACGACGUCAAGUCAUCAUGGCCCUUACGACCAGGGCUACACACGUGCUACAAUGGCGUAUACAAAGGGAGGCGA